rnacentral:rRNA from 1 species
AACGAACGCUGGCGGCAUGCCUUACACAUGCAAGUCGAACGGCAGCACGGGUGCUUGCACCUGGUGGCGAGUGGCGAACGGGUGAGUAAUCCAUCGGAACGUACCUUAUCGUGGGGGAUAACGCAGCGAAAGCUGUGCCAAUACCGCAUACGCCCUGAGGGGGAAAGCGGGGGAUCGCAAGACCUCGCGCGAUUAGAGCGGCCGAUGCCUGAUUAGCUAGUUGGUGGGGUAAAAGCCCACCAAGGCGACGAUCAGCAGCUGGUCUGCGAGGACGAUCAGCCACACUGGGACUGAGACAUGGCCCAGACUCCUACGGGAGGCAGCAGUGGGGAAUUUUGGACAAUGGGGGCAACCCUGAUCCAGCAAUGCCGCGUGAGUGAAGAAGGCCUUCGGGUUGUAAAGCUCUUUUGUCAGGGAAGAAACACCGGCUCUAACACAGUCCGGGAAUGACGGUACCUGAAGAAUAAGCACCGGCUAACUACGUGCCAGCAGCCGCGGUAA